rnacentral:piRNA from 1 species
UGGGAUCAGGACUGUAGCACCAGGAUUCC